rnacentral:rRNA from 1 species
GACGAACGCUGGCGGCGCGCUUAACACAUGCAAGUCGAACGGAAAGGCCUGCUUUCCCUUGUGGAUUGCGGGUACUCGAGUGGCGAACGGGUGAGUAACACGUGAGUGAUCUGCCCCCGACUUGGGUAUAAGCCUGGGAAACUGGGUCUAAUUCCCGAUAGGACUGCAGGGUGGUGCCUGUGGUGGAAAACGAUUUUCUAGUGGUUGGGGAUGAGCUCGCGGCCUAUCAGCUUGUUGGUGGGGUAAUGGCCUACCAAGGCGGCGACGGGUAGCCGGCCUGAGAGGGUGGACGGCCACAUUGGGACUGAGAUACGGCCCAGACUCCUACGGGAGGCAGCAGUGGGGAAUAUUGCACAAUGGGCGGAAGCCUGAUGCAGCGACGCCGCGUGGGGGAUGACGGCCUUCGGGUUGUAAACUCCUUUCGACCGCGAGGAAGCCACCUGGUUGGAAGGGUGGUGACGGUAGUGGUAGAAGAAGCACCGGCUAACUACGUG